CCAAUAGGGCUGCUUUGCAGGUUACUUUGAUAUAGUAAACUUAAAACCUUUGUGUUUCAUUGGU
rnacentral:tRNA from 1 species